CACUGUUUCUGCAGGAGCAUAACAAUGAUCCUUGGCUACUACCUGCUCUGAACGGAAAACCAGGAUGGAGAAGUGUUAUCUCUGUGAAAAUGCAGCACCACAGCUAGAGAGACCCAGGAGACUUCUGCAAAACUUCCUACCUUUUGCCGGCUUCUGCCUGUUCUCCCAGGAUCCGUCUGCAGUCUCCGGAGCAAGUCGGGUGUCCCAGCAGGUCCCAUCCCGGUCACCAGAAACUGUAGAGGAGGACGAAUAAUUUUCCCUCCAUCCUUCCAGACCUGGAAUUAAUCCUAAGAGCCCUGGUUUCUUCUGGCGAGGGGCGGACGUAGUCUUCAAGAUAUGAGCUUAUUCGUGGCUACUGGAACCUACUUUGCUCCUGGGGUAUUUCUGUGAAUAGAACUAAAAUAUACACA